UGGCGGACGGGUGAGUAAUGUCUGGGAAACUGCCCAUGGAGGGGGAUAACUACUGGAAACGGUAGCUAAUACCGCAUAACGUCGCAAGACCAAAGAGGGGGACCUUCGGGCCUCUUGCCAUCGGAUGUGCCCAGAUGGGAUUAGCUAGUAGGUGGGGUAACGGCUCACCUAGGCGACGAUCCCUAGCUGGUCUGAGAGGAUGACCAGCCACACUGGAACUGAGACACGGUCCAG
rnacentral:rRNA from 1 species